rnacentral:rRNA from 1 species
GUGGGGAAUUUUGGACAAUGGGCGCAAGCCUGAUCCAGCAAUGCCGCGUACAGGAAGAAGGCCUUCGGGUUGUAAACUGCUUUUGUACGGAACGAAACGGUCCUGGUUAAUACCUGGGGCUAAUGACGGUACCGUAAGAAUAAGCACCGGCUAACUACGUGCCAGCAGCCGCGGUAAUACGUAGGGUGCAAGCGUUAAUCGGAAUUACUGGGCGUAAAGCGUGCGCAGGCGGUUUUGUAAGACAGGCGUGAAAUCCCCGGGCUCAACCUGGGAAUUGCGCUUGUGACUGCAAGGCUGGAGUGCGGCAGAGGGGGAUGGAAUUCCGCGUGUAGCAGUGAAAUGCGUAGAUAUGCGGAGGAACACCGAUGGCGAAGGCAAUCCCCUGGGCCUGCACUGACGCUCAUGCACGAAAGCGUGGGGAGCAAACAGGAUUAGAAACCCGGGUAGUCC